AUUUCAGCAUUAUUCAACAUCAUCUGCUCAUCUUUACACAAAACAAAUCACAAGAUGAUCAGAAUAUUCUUCACUUUCUUCACUCUUCUCACCUGUGUGAGUGGAGUGACUGUACUGACCCAGAAUCCUUCAGAGCUCACAGUGAAUAAAGGAAAUAAAGUCACAAUUAACUGUAAUCUGGGAUCUGUUAAUGACAGACCUGCUAGAUGGUAUAAACAGAUUUCAGGAGUUCCUCAGUUUGUGUUAAGCUUUUAUCCUGACUGGAGGGAUGGACCUAAAUAUGGAUCUGGUUUCUCUGCUCCUAAAUUCACAUCAACAUCUUCAUCUAAAUCAGAUUAUAGUUUGAUCAUCAAUAAUGUAGAUGUGAAAGAUUCAGCUGUGUAUUACUGUAAGACAUGGGACGAGUCUGUUAAAGAGUACAUAUCACAAUGAUUCACAUCAUGACAAAAACCUCCUCACUGUUCAC